CAAUAGCGUAUGUUAAAGUUGUUGCGGCUAAAAAGCUCGUAGUUGGAUUUCUGUUGAGGACAUCUGGUCCGCUCUACGAGCGUGUAUCGAGAUUGGCCUCGGCAUCCGCUCUGCAGACGCGUUUGCGCUUCACUGCGUGGCGUGGAAGUAGGGCCUUUUACUUUGAGGAAAUUAGAGUGUUCACGGCAGGCAUUCGCCCUGAAUAUAUUAGCAUGGAAUAAUAACAUAGGAUCUUGGUUCUAUUUUGUUGGUUUCUAGAGCUGAGAUAAUGAUUAAUAGGGACAAUUGGGGGCAUUCGUAUUGUGGCGUCAGAGGUGGAAUUCUUGGAUUGCUGCACGACGAACUACUGCGAAAGCAUUUGCCAAGGAUGUUUUCAUUGA
rnacentral:rRNA from 1 species